rnacentral:rRNA from 1 species
CAGUAGCCGCGGUAAUACAGAGGAUGCAAGCGUUAUCCGGAAUGAUUGGGCGUAAAGCGUCUGUAGGUGGCUUUUCAAGUCAGUCGUCAAAUCCCUGGGCUCAACCCUGGACAAGCAGUGGAAACUACCAAGCUGGAGUAUAGUAGGGGCAGAGUGAAUUUCCGGUGGAGCGAUGAAAUGCGUUGAGAUCAGAAAGAACACCAACGGCGAAAGCACUCUGCUGGGCCGACACUGACACUGAGAGACGAAAGCUAGGGGAGCAAAUUGGAUUAGAUACCCCCGUAGUCCCUGUCUCUUAUAA